GCUGGUGACCUUUCUGACGGGGUCACGCCUGAUCCCAUUCCGAACUCAGAAGCUAAGCCCGUCCGGCCGAUGGUAGUCGCAAGGCGAGAGUAGGUGAUCGCCAGCA
rnacentral:rRNA from 1 species